rnacentral:rRNA from 1 species
GUAGAACUAGGGAGUGGGAGAGGUAGACGGUAUUCGGUAGGAAGGGGUAAAAUCCUUUGAUCUAUUGAGGACCACCUGUGGCGAAGGCGGUCUACCAGAACACGUUCGACGGUGAGGGAUGAAAGCUGGGGGAGCAAACCGGAUUAGAUACCCGGGUAGUCCCAGCUGUAAACUAUGCAAACUCAGUGAUGCAUUGGCUUGUGGCCAGUGCAGUGCCGCAGGGAAGCCGUUAAGUUUGCCGCCUGGGAAGUACGUACGCAAGUAUGAAACUUAAAGGAAUUGGCGGGGGAGCACCACAAGGGGUGAAGCCUGCGGUUCAAUUGGAGUCAACGCCAGAAAUCUUACCCGGAGAGACAGCAGGAUGAAGGUCAAGCUGAAGACUUUACCAGACAAGCUGAGAAGUGGUGCAUGGCCGUCGCCAGCUCGUGCCGUGAGAUGUCCUGUUAAGUCAGGUAACGAGCGAGAUCCUUGCCUCUAGUUGCCACCAUUACUCUCAGGAGUAGUGGGGCGAAUUAGCGGGACUGCCGUAGUUAAUACGGAGGAAGGAGAGGGCCAC